UACGUAGGGGGCUAGCGUUGUCCGGAAUCAUUGGGCGUAAAGCGCGUGUAGGCGGUUCGGUAAGUCCGCUGUGAAAGUCGGGGGCUCAACCCUCGAAUGCCGGUGGAUACUGUCGGACUAGAGUACGGAAGAGGCGAGUGGAAUUCCCGGUGUAGCGGUGAAAUGCGCAGAUAUCGGGAGGAACACCAAUGGCGAAGGCAGCUCACUGGGACGUUACUGACGCUGAGACGCGAAAGCGUGGGGAGCAAACAGG
rnacentral:rRNA from 1 species